GGUGCACAAGAAGCUGGGAGGGGAGGGGGCAGAGCCAGGACAGCUGAUCCAAACUGGUCAAAGGGAUAUUCCAUGCCAUAUGAAAUAAUGCUCAGGAUAUAAACAGGGGGGAGUUGGCCUGGGGAAGCAGUGAUCAUUGCCUGGGGACUGGUGGCCGAUUCUCUCCCCCAUUCCAUAGGGGAGGAGAGAGGGUGAGCAAGCAGCUGUGUGGUGCUUGGUUGCUGACUGGGGCUAAACCACAAUGCUGGAAACCCUGAGCUGGGCAGCACUGAACAGAUGUCCAACAAAAGCAUGGCAUGCUGUGCAGAUCCCAUCCACGCCGUCGGUGCUGCGAAGGAGCGCAGCCACAGACCUUUUAAGAAGAACAUGACACAAUCUGCUGAUCUCUGACAUGACAGAGCAGUUCUGACUGGCGCUGUUCAAGGUGGCCCUUCAAAGCUGUUGAGGCUAUAAAUAUCUCUGACUCUCCUGUUUUCCUACUUCCCAAUAAAAGUUUUUCAUAAAUAAGAAGGAUGUCCCAUGUAUAUAAGCGUGUGUAGGAAGGGGGUUGGUUUUGCUUUCCAGCUGCCAGUCCUGCACACCCAUCCCACACUCAGAGUCCGCUAAUUUUUACCUCUUCUAGUGCCUACAAUUUGCAGCCCAUGUUUUGCAGCCAGCCACAUGUACACAAACCUUAUAUUGUUGUGGUGCCCAAAUACUUUUGUUGUCAGCAGUGAGCUUUCAUGGAGGAAAGAGUCUGGAGCACAGUAAAGAAUUGUGACUGCACAUUAAUGCAACACUGAGCUGGCCUGGAAAAUACGAAGCCUAACUGUUGCAGCUGAAGUGAUGGGUGCUUAAGAGGAUGAUUAAUAAAAUGCUAGAUAAUAGACUAAUGAGCAACAUGUGUAUUAUCCGGCAGUGAAUUAGCAAGGAUCCACAUAAAGACACCACUCAUACUGUACAAUGAGGAUAUGCAUCGUGGAAAUCAUUAUUUAUAUAGCAUUUGAAGAUGUCUCACAUGAACUGAAUGCCAAAGUGCUGCUAGCACUGGGAGCCUGAAUAUCUGUUUGACUUUUGGUUAAAUCAAUUAAUAAGUCAAUAAAAGCAAAAGAGCUUCAUGACAGAAGACAAGCUUUAGGAAAUAAAUGGUACAAUAUGCAAAGGCCUGUUAAACUUAAAUCGUUAAAGAUGCAUAGGCACAAGGAACCCAUGGGCUCAUUUCUCUGAGCUUGGUCUGCUGGAGAGCUGGACCUUACCAAAUGUUCUUUUGCCACUGGUAUGUAGUGUUUUGCUUUUGUUUACCAUUAUUGUCUGAAUAAAGAUGCCUACAUAAAAAUCCAGUCUUGAAGUGUAGUCCCUAAAAUACCCAGGUAUAAUUAUGAAUUCGGAGAGAUACAAGAUCAGUUUAGUGUAAUGCAACACAUUCCAGAGGAAAACUGAGAAUACUUUUCAAAAGCAAAGACAGGAAAAUGUAUUUUUGGGUGGGUUUUUUUUUUUCAGAAUUUCAUCUUUGGUUUUGUUUCUUUUUGUUCUCUUCCUUAUCAACCUCGAUAAUGACUCCAAAUCUCUGAUUGGACUGACAACAAUGCAAAUAUUUCUCUUCAGUGCUGACUUGACACAUCAGCCUUUCAAUUUGUUUUUUUCAAGUCUCUCUAAACUGAAAGCAGACUGGCUCCCUUUUCUCUGAGCAUGAGGUAAUGUUUUAGGAGCAAUCUUCAAGCACUUAUCCCUGCAUAUGCUAGGUCAGACAUUCAUCAAACUGCCUAGCUGUAUUGACUUCCAUAGCACCAUACUGACCUACCUUAACCACAUAUACGGUCUCACUGCAUCACUGGAGGUAAGUAUAUAAACUUCAUUCUCCAAGGGGUCAGCUGAAGGUGCGAUACUAAAAAAUUUGUUUGAUUUGUGCUCUUCCAGCAUGCACAUGACUGAUGUUCUGCCUGAUACUGCUGUGACCAUAAUCUUUAAUUCCUAGUAGUACAUC